rnacentral:tRNA from 1 species
GCCGGUGUGAUGCAAUUGGCAGACAUCGAUGCCUUAAAAGCAUUGUUUUGACGGUUCAAAUCCGCCCACCGGCA